rnacentral:rRNA from 1 species
CAGCAGCCGCGGGAAUACGUAGGGUGCGAGCGUUAAUCGGAAUUACUGGGCGUAAAGCGUGCGCAGGCGGUUAUGUAAGACAGGUGUGAAAUCCCCGGGCUUAACCUGGGAACUGCGCUUGUGACUGCACAGCUAGAGUAUGGCAGAGGGGGGUGGAAUUCCACGUGUAGCAGUGAAAUGCGUAGAGAUGUGGAGGAACACCGAUGGCGAAGGCAGCCCCCUGGGCCAAUACUGACGCUCAUGCACGAAAGCAUGGGGAGCAAACAGGAUUAGAUACCCCGGUAGUCCCUGUCUCUUAUAA